rnacentral:rRNA from 1 species
AACGAACGCUGGCGGCAGGCUUAACACAUGCAAGUCGAACGCCCCGCAAGGGGAGUGGCAGACGGGUGAGUAACGCGUGGGAAUCCACCUAGUUCUACGGAACAACAGUUGGAAACGACUGCUAAUACCGUAUACGCCCUACGGGGGAAAGAUUUAUCGGAAUUAGAUGAGCCCGCGUAAGAUUAGCUAGUUGGUGGGGUAAUGGCCUACCAAGGCGACGAUCUUUAGCUGGUCUGAGAGGAUGAUCAGCCACACUGGGACUGAGACACGGCCCAGACUCCUACGGGAGGCAGCAGUGGGGAAUAUUGGACAAUGGGCGCAAGCCUGAUCCAGCCAUGCCGCGUGAGUGAUGAAGGCCUUAGGGUUGUAAAGCUCUUUCACCGAUGAAGAUAAUGACGGUAGUCGGAGAAGAAGCCCCGGCUAACUUCGUGCCAGCAGCCGCUGUAAAAC